rnacentral:rRNA from 1 species
GACGAACGCUGGCGGCGUGCUUAACACAUGCAAGUCGAGCGGUAAGGCCCUUUCGGGGGUACGACGAGCGGCGAACGGGUGAGUAACACGUGGGUGACCUGCCCUCAGCUCUGGGAUAAGCCUCGGGAAACCGGGUCUAAUACCGGAUAUGACUCCAUGACGCAUGUUGUGGGGUGGAAAGCCUUGUGCGGCUGAGGAUGGGCCCGCGGCCUAUCAGCUUGUUGGUGGGGUGAUGGCCUACCAAGGCGACGACGGGUAGCCGGCCUGAGAGGGCGACCGGCCACACUGGGACUGAGACACGGCCCAGACUCCUACGGGA